rnacentral:rRNA from 1 species
CCUACGGGAGGCAGCAGUGAGGAAUAUUGGUCAAUGGACGAGAGUCUGAACCAGCCAAGUAGCGUGAAGGAUGACUGCCCUAUGGGUUGUAAACUUCUUUUAUAUGGGAAUAAAAUGUUCCCCGUGUGGGAUUUUGUAUGUACCAUAUGAAUAAGGAUCGGCUAACUCCGUUCCAGCAGCCGCGUUAAUAAGGAGGAUCCGAGCGUGAUCCGGAUUUAUUGGGUUUAAAGGGAGCGUAGGUGGAUUGUGAAGUCAGUUGUGAAAGUUUGCGGCGCAACCGUAAAAUUGCAGUUGAAACUGGCAGUAUUGAGGACAGUCGCGAUGGGCGGAGUUGGUGGUGUAGCGUUGCAAUG